GGAUGUGAUCAUACUAGCACUAAAGCACCAGAUCCCAUCAGAACUCCGAAGUUAAGCGUGCUUGGGUGAGAGUAGUACUAGGAUGGGUGACCUCCUGGGAAGUCCUCGUGUUGCAUUCC
rnacentral:rRNA from 1 species